GAAGAGGAGGAAGGCCGACCACAUUUAUUGGUCCUUCCUACUCCACAAUGCCCGUUCCUCGAAGCCCAGACAACUAUCCUGAGCGUCUAUUUCUUUCCCCUCAUCCUACAGGUCGGUGAGGGAGGCCCGUUGGCUUUCCCGAGUCCCUGAGCCAAUGAACUCCAGGGCCGAGGGUCCAUCGACCGAGGUCCACGGAGCUGCGGCCCAGGGCGGGGAGGCUAGGGGAGGCCGGGGGAGGCCCGGAGCCUCAGGCCCCACAGCCGGCGAUCCUGGCCAGGACCCCCUUCUCGUGCUUCCUCUGCCAACGAAGAACGACGGUGUCUAGACCGCCUUGGUGGCCCGACCCUCCGCUUCGCCUCCUCGUCAGCCGAGCCCUGGGGACAGACCCUUGGUCAGAAUUGAGGCUUAUGCUAGAGCAUACGAGGAGGCACUAACAAAUCCUAAUCUGGGAUAAUGAGCUCGAGGGGUAAAUGAGUACAUGGCUACUACCAGAAGAGCAGUGAAAGAAGACUUCAUAGAGGCAUUUAAAGUGACAUCACCAUGCCAAUCCCAACUUACUACAACCGGCGAGAAGCAACUGCUAGACCAGAUUAAAUACGACGAAGGCAGGGAAAGAAUAUCUGACCCUCAGGAACUUCCAUGGUGGGAGCCAGGAACCUUCAGUUGCUGAGUAGGUAACAGACAAUAUCUCUACAGCUUCUUUGAAAAAGUGACACUUGAAGCAGUAUCUAAAUAAUGAGAAAAGGCAGACAUAUGAAGUUCUGAAGAAGAUAGGGGUGCCUGGGUGGCUCAAUGAGUUAAGCAUCUGACUCUUGAUUUCAACUCAGGUCAUGAUUUCAGGGUUGUGAGAUACGGCUCCGUGCUCAGUGGGGAGUCUGCUGGACAUCCUGCUCUGCCCCUAUCUCUUAUAUAGUAAAUAAACAAAACUUUAAAAGGAAAAGAUCUGAAGAA
rnacentral:lncRNA from 12 species